GUAUUAUUCCCUCCGUCCCAAAAUUCUUGUCUUACAUUUGUUUAGAUACGGAUGUAUCUAACACUAAAAUGUAACUAGAUACAUCCGUAUUUAGACAAAUUUAAGACAAGAAUUUUGGGACGGAGGGAGUACAAA
rnacentral:pre_miRNA from 1 species